GGGGGUGCUGGGUUGGAGAAUGUGACAGAGGACAAGAAUAGAAUACAGUUAUAGAACUGGAAUUCGCUUUUUCAUGCUAAUUUCCCUGAAUACGUUCCAGAGGACAAGGACUGUGUUGUUCAUCACAGUAUUCCAGAACUUAAAAGGAACUGGCACAUAAUUGGAGCUUACUAAUAUUCGUCAAAAAAAUGAACAAAUGAGGCAAUGACAGUGGUCUUGUGAAGCUGCUGCUAUUUACAGGGACUCACUCAUUCCGCAAGUAUUUUUUGCACCUCCUACCACACUCCACUCAGUUACAUGCUGGGAAUACCACAGUAAAGAAGAGCUGUUUAUCCCUCUUCUCAUUUCUGCCCCGCUCUGAGCCCUGAGUUUUAGUGCCAGUGCUUUUACACAAAUCCAGCUUUACAUCUUGAGUGAAAUAUAAUUUCAUAGGAAUGUAAUUCUGGAAUGAUCUCAUUGAAAAAGCACAUCCAGCAAAGGCCAUGAGCAGACUUCAGGCCAGCCCAUUCACACCCAGAGCCAAGAAGACUGCAGACCCCU
rnacentral:lncRNA from 1 species